rnacentral:rRNA from 1 species
CUAGCUACAGGCUUAACACAUGCAAGUCGAGGGGCAGCAUGGUCUUAGCUUGCUAAGGCCGAUGGCGACCGGCGCACGGGUGAGUAACACGUAUCCAACCUGCCGUCUACUCUUGGACAGCCUUCUGAAAGGAAGAUUAAUACAAGAUGGCAUCAUGAGUCCGCAUGUUCACAUGAUUAAAGGUAUUCCGGUAGACGAUGGGGACGCGUUCCAUUAGAUAGUAGGCGGGGUAACGGCCCACCUAGUCUUCGAUGGAUAGGGGUUCUGAGAGGAAGGUCCCCCACAUUGGAACUGAGACACGGUCCAAACUCCUACGGGAGGCAGCAGUGAGGAAUAUUGGUCAAUGGGCGAGAGCCUGAACCAGCCAAGUAGCGUGAAGGAUGACUGCCCUAUGGGUUGUAAACUUCUUUUAUAAAGGAAUAAAGUCGGGUAUGGAUACCCGUUUGCAUGUACUUUAUGAAUAAGGAUCGGCUAACUCCGUGCCAGCAGCCGCGGUAAUACGGAGGAUCCGAGCGUUAUCCGGAUUUAUUGGGUUUAAAGGGAGCGUAGAUGGAUGUUUAAGUCAGUUGUGAAAGUUUGCGGCUCAACCGUAAAAUUGCAGUUGAUACUGGAUAUCUUGAGUGCAGUUGAGGCAGGCGGAAUUCGUGGUGUAGCGGUGAAAUGCUUAGAUAUCACGAAGAACUCCGAUUGCGAAGGCAGCCUGCUAAGCUGCAACUGACAUUGAGGCUCGAAAGUGUGGGUAUCAAACAGGAUUAGAUACCCUGGUAGUCCACACGGUAAACGAUGAAUACUCGCUGUUUGCGAUAUACUGCAAGCGGCCAAGCGAAAGCGUUAAGUAUUCCACCUGGGGAGUACGCCGGCAACGGUGAAACUCAAAGGAAUUGACGGGGGCCCGCACAAGCGGAGGAACAUGUGGUUUAAUUCGAUGAUACGCGAGGAACCUUACCCGGGCUUAAAUUGCAGAUGAAUUACGGUGAAAGCCGUAAGCCGCAAGGCAUCUGUGAAGGUGCUGCAUGGUUGUCGUCAGCUCGUGCCGUGAGGUGUCGGCUUAAGUGCCAUAACGAGCGCAACCCUUGUUGUCAGUUACUAACAGGUUCCGCUGAGGACUCUGACAAGACUGCCAUCGUAAGAUGUGAGGAAGGUGGGGAUGACGUCAAAUCAGCACGGCCCUUACGUCCGGGGCUACACACGUGUUACAAUGGGGGGUACAGAGGGCCGCUACCACGCGAGUGGAUGCCAAUCCCCAAAACCUCUCUCAGUUCGGACUGGAGUCUGCAACCCGACUCCACGAAGCUGGAUUCGCUAGUAAUCGCGCAUCAGCCACGGCGCGGUGAAUACGUUCCCGGGCCUUGUACACACCGCCCGUCAAGCCAUGGGAGCCGGGGGUACCUGAAGUGCGUAACCGCGAGGAGCGCCCUAGGGUAAAACUGGUGGCUGGGGCUAAG